rnacentral:rRNA from 1 species
AUUGAACGCUGGCGGCAGGCCUAACACAUGCAAGUCGAGCGGAUGAAGGGAGCUUGCUCCUGGAUUCAGCGGCGGACGGGUGAGUAAUGCCUAGGAAUCUGCCUGGUGGUGGGGGAUAACGUCCGGAAACGGGCGCUAAUACCGCAUACGUCCUGAGGGAGAAAGUGGGGGAUCUUCGGACCUCACGCUAUCAGAUGAGCCUAGGUCGGAUUAGCUAGUUGGUGGGGUAAAGGCCUACCAAGGCGACGAUCCGUAACUGGUCUGAGAGGAUGAUCAGUCACACUGGAACUGAGACACGGUCCAGACUCCUACGGGAGGCAGCAGUGGGGAAUAUUGGACAAUGGGCGAAAGCCUGAUCCAGCCAUGCCGCGCGUGUGAAGAAGGUCUUCGGAUUGUAAAGCACUUUAAGUUGGGAGGAAGGGCAGUAAGUUAAUACCUUGCUGUUUUGACGUUACCAACAGAAUAAGCACCGGCUAACUUCGUG